rnacentral:rRNA from 1 species
CUACGGGCUGCUCCAGUGGGGAAUAUUGCACAAUGGGCGCAAGCCUGAUGCAGCCAUGCCGCGUGUAUGAAGAAGGCCUUCGGGUUGUAAAGUACUUUCAGCGGGGAGGAAGGGAGUAAAGUUAAUACCUUUGCUCAUUGACGUUACCCGCAGAAGAAGCACCGGCUAACUCCGUGCCAGCAGCCGCGGUAAUACGGAGGGUGCAAGCGUUAAUCGGAAUUACUGGGCGUAAAGCGCACGCAGGCGGUUUGUUAAGUCAGAUGUGAAAUCCCCGGGCUCAACCUGGGAACUGCAUCUGAUACUGGCAAGCUUGAGUCUCGUAGGGGGGGGUAGAAUUCCAGGUGUAGCGGUGAAAUGCGUAGAGAUCUGGAGGAAUACCGGUGGCGAAGGCGGCCCCCUGGACGAAGACUGACGCUCAGGUGCGAAAGCGUGGGGAGCAAACAGGAUUAGAUACCCCCGUGUC